rnacentral:rRNA from 1 species
CCUACGGGGCGCACCAGUAGGGAAUCUUCGGCAAUGGACGAAAGUCUGACCGAGCAACGCCGCGUGAGUGAAGAAGGUUUUCGGAUCGUAAAACUCUGUUGUUAGAGAAGAACAAGUAGGAGAGUAACUGCUCUUACCUUGACGGUAUCUAACCAGAAAGCCACGACUAACUGCGUGCCAGCAGCCGCGGUAAUACGUAGAUGGCAAGCGUUGUCCGGAUUUAUUGGGCGUAAAGCGAGCGCAGGCGGUCUUUUAAGUCUGAUGUGAAAGCCCUCGGCUCGACCGAGGAAGGUCAUUGGAAACUGGAGGACUUGAGUGCAGAAGAGGAGAGUGGAGUUCCAUGUGUAGCGGUGAAAUGCGUAGAUAUAUGGAGGAACACCAGUGGCGAAGGCGACUCUCUGGUCUGUAACUGACGCUGAGGCUCGAAAGCGUGGGGAGCAAACAGGAUUAGAUACCCUGGUAGUC